CCUGGCUCAGGAUGAACGCUAGCUACAGGCUUAACACAUGCAAGUCGAGGGGCAGCAUGGUCUUAGCUUGCUAAGACUGAUGGCGACCGGCGCACGGGUGAGUAACACGUAUCCAACCUGCCGUCUACUCUUGGACAGCCUUCUGAAAGGAAGAUUAAUACAAGAUGGCAUCAUGAGUCCGCAUGUUCACAUGAUUAAAGGUAUUCCGGUAGACGAUGGGGAUGCGUUCCAUUAGAUAGUAGGCGGGGUAACGGCCCACCUAGUCUUCGAUGGAUAGGGGUUCUGAGAGGAAGGUCCCCCACAUUGGAACUGAGACACGGUCCAAACUCCUACGGGAGGCAGCAGUGAGGAAUAUUGGUCAAUGGGCGAGAGCCUGAACCAGCCAAGUAGCGUGAAGGAUGACUGCCCUAUGGGUUGUAAACUUCUUUUAUAAAGGAAUAAAGUUGGGUAUGGAUACCCGUUUGCAUGUACUUUAUGAAUAAGGAUCGGCUAACUCCGUGCCAGCAGCCGCGGUAAUACGGAGGAUCCGAGCGUUAUCCGGAUUUAUUGGGUUUAAAGGGAGCGUAGAUGGAUGUUUAAGUCAGUUGUGAAAGUUUGCGGCUCAACCGUAAAAUUGCAGUUGAUACUGGAUAUCUUGAGUGCAGUUGAGGCAGGCGGAAUUCGUGGUGUAGCGGUGAAAUGCUUAGAUAUCACGAAGAACUCCGAUUGCGAAGGCAGCCUGCUAAGCUGCAACUGACAUUGAGGCUCGAAAGUGUGGGUAUCAAACAGGAUUAGAUACCCUGGUAGUCCACACGGUAAACGAUGAAUACUCGCUGUUUGCGAUAUACUGCAAGCGGCCAAGCGAAAGCGUUAAGUAUUCCACCUGGGGAGUACGCCGGCAACGGUGAAACUCAAAGGAAUUGACGGGGGCCCGCACAAGCGGAGGAACAUGUGGUUUAAUUCGAUGAUACGCGAGGAACCUUACCCGGGCUUAAAUUGCAGAUGAAUUACGGUGAAAGCCGUAAGCCGCAAGGCAUCUGUGAAGGUGCUGCAUGGUUGUCGUCAGCUCGUGCCGUGAGGUGUCGGCUUAAGUGCCAUAACGAGCGCAACCCUUGUUGUCAGUUACUAACAGGUUCCGCUGAGGACUCUGACAAGACUGCCAUCGUAAGAUGUGAGGAAGGUGGGGAUGACGUCAAAUCAGCACGGCCCUUACGUCCGGGGCUACACACGUGUUACAAUGGGGGGUACAGAGGGCCGCUACCACGCGAGUGGAUGCCAAUCCCCAAAACCUCUCUCAGUUCGGACUGGAGUCUGCAACCCGACUCCACGAAGCUGGAUUCGCUAGUAAUCGCGCAUCAGCCACGGCGCGGUGAAUACGUUCCCGGGCCUUGUACACACCGCCC
rnacentral:rRNA from 1 species